rnacentral:rRNA from 1 species
CUGGCUCAGGACGAACGCUGGCGGCGUGCCUAAUACAUGCAAGUCGAGCGAACAGAGAAGGAGCUUGCUCCUUCGACGUUAGCGGCGGACGGGUGAGUAACACGUGGGCAACCUACCUUAUAGUUUGGGAUAACUCCGGGAAACCGGGGCUAAUACCGAAUAAUCUGUUUCACCUCAUGGUGAAACACUAAAAGACGGUUUCGGCUGUCGCUAUAGGAUGGGCCCGCGGCGCAUUAGCUAGUUGGUGAGGUAACGGCUCACCAAGGC